GAUGAACGCUGGCGGCGUGCUUAACACAUGCAAGUCGAACGGAAAGGCUCCUGCUUGCAGGGGUACUCGAGUGGCGAACGGGUGAGUAACACGUGGGUGAUCUGCCCUGCACUUCGGGAUAAGCCUGGGAAACUGGGUCUAAUACCGGAUAGGACCACAUUUUGGAUGGUGUGGUGGAAAGUUUUUCGGUGUGGGAUGAGCUCGCGGCCUAUCAGCUUGUUGGUGGGGUAAUGGCCUACCAAGGCGUCGACGGGUAGCCGGCCUGAGAGGGUGUACGGCCACAUUGGGACUGGGAUACGGCCCAGACUCCUACGGGAGGCAGCAGUGGGGAAUAUUGCACAAUGGGCGCAAGCCUGAUGCAGCGACGCCGCGUGGGGGAUGACGGCCUUCGGGUUGUAAACUCCUUUCGCUAGGGACGAAGCGUUUUUGUGACGGUACCUGGAGAAGAAGCACCGGCUAACUACGUG
rnacentral:rRNA from 1 species